rnacentral:tRNA from 1 species
GGGGUUGUGGCUCAAUGGUAGAGCGCUUGCCUAGCAUGUGCAAGGCCCUGGGUUCAAUCCUCAGCACCG